rnacentral:hammerhead_ribozyme from 1 species
AUCCGACUGACGAGUUCCAAAUAGAACGAAACGAGCGUUCUGGAU